rnacentral:misc_RNA from 1 species
GUUGAAGUGAAACCUGGACAGAGAAAUUAAUGGACAUGGUUCAUUUGCAUUGCGAAUAGCACAUCUGAAGAAAGUCACGGUGCCAAGAAAGGGAUACAAUUCCGCUGCACCUAACACGAGCAGAUGCAGACUCCUGCGCUACACUUUCCAUCUAACUCUACAAUUGGAAGAGAUAGAGAAUGUUGAUAGAAAGGAUAUUGAGCACUCCACCUUUUUCUGGCAUACCAAAACGGACUUAAACAGAAAAAAGCCUUAUGUUAAAGAGAGGCCGUGCCUGGUACAAAAACACCGACCUUUCCUCGCACAACAUGCAAAGCACUGGUGUACGCAUGCUCCUUUCAUCCCUCUCCU